rnacentral:tRNA from 1 species
CGGACUAGAGCUUGAUAUAAAGCAUUUUAUUUACAUUAAAAAGUUAAUUGUGAAAUUCAAUUUGGUUUGA